rnacentral:rRNA from 1 species
GAUGAACGCUGGCGGCGUGCCUAAUACAUGCAAGUCGAGCGAACGGACGAGAAGCUUGCUUCUCUGAUGUUAGCGGCGGACGGGUGAGUAACACGUGGAUAACCUACCUAUAAGACUGGGAUAACUUCGGGAAACCGGAGCUAAUACCGGAUAAUAUUUUGAACCGCAUGGUUCAAAAGUGAAAGACGGUCUUGCUGUCACUUAUAGAUGGAUCCGCGCUGCAUUAGCUAGUUGGUAAGGUAACGGCUUACCAAGGCAACGAUGCAUAGCCGACCUGAGAGGGUGAUCGGCCACACUGGAACUGAGAAACGGUCCAGACUCCUACGGGAGGCAGCAGUAGGGAAUCUUACGCAAUGGGCGAAAGCCUGACGGAGCAACGCCGCGUGAGGGAUGAAGGUCUUCGGAUCGUAAAACUCUGUUAUUAGUGAAGAACAAAUGUGUAAGUAACUGUGCACAUCUUGACGGUACCUGAUCAGAAAGCCACGGCUAACUACGUG